AGUCGACACGGUAGGUGCAUGGUUGUCGUCAGCUCGUGUCGUGAGAUGUUGUAGUCCCGCACGAGCGCAACCCUUGAUCUUAGUUGCCAGCAUUCAGUUGGGCACUCUAAGGUGACUGCCGGUGACAAACCGGAGGAGGUGGGGAUGACGUCAAAUCAUCAUGCCCCUUAUGACCUGGCUACACACGUGCUACAAUGGAUGGUACAGAAGGGCUGCAAACCUGCGAAGGUAAGCGAAUCCCAUAAAGCCAUUCUCAGUUCGGAUUGCAGGCUGCAACUCGCCUGCAUGAAGCGAAUCGCUAGUAAUCGCGGAUCAGCAUGCCGNGGUGAAUACGUUCCCGGGUCUU
rnacentral:rRNA from 1 species